GACGAACGCUGGCGGCGUGCUUAACACAUGCAAGUCGAGCGGAAAGGCCCUGCUCUUGUGGGGUGCUCGAUUGGCGAACAGGUGAGUAACACGUGAGUAUACUCCCCUUGACUUUGGGGUAACUUCAGGGGAAAGGGGCUAAUACCGGAUAUGAUCUCCUGCAGCGUGGGGUGGGAUGGUGAGUUUCGGCGGUGGGGGAUGGACUGGCGGGUUAUCAGCUGGUUGGUGGGGUGGUGGCUGACCAAGGCUUUGACGGGUAGCCUGCCUGAGCGGGUGACAGGCCACCUUGGGACUGAGGUAGGGCAGCGACUCGUAAGGGAGGGAGAAGUGGGGAAGCUUGAAGGAUGGACGGAAGCUUGGUGCAGCAGCGCCGCGUGCGGGAUGACGCCCUUAGGGUUGUAAACCGAUUGCGCCAGUAACGAAGCGUGAGUGACGGUAACGGGUAAAGAAGCACCGGCUAAAUAAGUG
rnacentral:rRNA from 1 species